rnacentral:lncRNA from 1 species
AGUAAUUCCUUUACUCAUUUACAUUUUUUUAUUCACUUGUUUUAGUACCCAUUUAUUCUCUGUGCAAUUAAAUCUUCUGUUCUCUGAUAUGGAUAAAUAGUGGAAUGUAGGUUUGUAGUAAUACUGUCUAGAUUUGAGUUCUGGAUCCUCUUCUAGAUUUAUAUUUCUUCAUACCUCACUUUGUAAGCAGUGUAAUAAAACACUGCAUUGACACUUAGUACAUAAUAGCAUUAGGUUUUUGUUUGUUUGUUUGUUUUGUUAUUUUUAGUAUUUUUAUGGGUUUUUUUGGUUUGGAUGGAGGUGAUUAGAGCCUUCUUGUUGCUCUCUAAACACAUGCUGUUAAAGUUGUUUCUCACUUCUUCCUCAGUAAAGAAUUACUUUACUUUGUCAUUUGUCCUUAUUUCUAGAGGCCCAGAUGCCAUACAUUCAUACAUCAUGUUCACUGUCUUUAGUCUUCCAGGUCAUCGGACUGCCAUUGACCAUCAUUGAUAUUGGUACUGGUUAAUUAUUUGAGGACUAAUAAAAAAGAAAGAUAAAUCAUGACAAAUCAAAUUGGUUAAGUAAAAGAAUAGUAAUUACUGUCAUUUAUGUGAGCUAUUUCGAAUUCAUGCCUAAAUAUGUUACUACAAAAUGGCAGCUAUUCAUCUUAUUAAAAUUGUAUCAAAG